GGCCUAACACAUGCAAGUCGAGCGGUAGCACAGAGAGCUUGCUCUCGGGUGACGAGCGGCGGACGGGUGAGUAAUGUCUGGGAAACUGCCUGAUGGAGGGGGAUAACUACUGGAAACGGUAGCUAAUACCGCAUAAUGUCGCAAGACCAAAGUGGGGGACCUUCGGGCCUCAUGCCAUCAGAUGUGCCCAGAUGGGAUUAGCUAGUAGGUGGGGUAACGGCUCACCUAGGCGACGAUCCCUAGCUGGUCUGAGAGGAUGACCAGCCACACUGGAACUGAGACACGGUCCAGACUCCUACGGGAGGCAGCAGUGGGGAAUAUUGCACAAUGGGCGCAAGCCUGAUGCAGCCAUGCCGCGUGUGUGAAGAAGGCCUUCGGGUUGUAAAGCACUUUCAGCGGGGAGGAAGGCGGUGAGGUUAAUAACCUUGUCGAUUGACGUUACCCGCAGAAGAAGCACCGGCUAACUCCGUGCCAGCAGCCGCGGUAAUACGGAGGGUGCAAGCGUUAAUCGGAAUUACUGGGCGUAAAGCGCACGCAGGCGGUCUGUCAAGUCGGAUGUGAAAUCCCCGGGCUCAACCUGGGAACUGCAUUCGAAACUGGCAGGCUAGAGUCUUGUAGAGGGGGGUAGAAUUCCAGGUGUAGCGGUGAAAUGCGUAGAGAUCUGGAGGAAUACCGGUGGCGAAGGCGGCCCCCUGGACAAAGACUGACGCUCAGGUGCGAAAGCGUGGGGAGCAAACAGGAUUAGAUACCCUGGUAGUCCACGCCGUAAACGAUGUCGAUUUGGAGGUUGUGCCCUUGAGGCGUGGCUUCCGGAGCUAACGCGUUAAAUCGACCGCCUGGGGAGUACGGCCGCAAGGUUAAAACUCAAAUGAAUUGACGGGGGCCCGCACAAGCGGUGGAGCAUGUGGUUUAAUUCGAUGCAACGCGAAGAACCUUACCUGGUCUUGACAUCCACAGAACUUUCCAGAGAUGGAUUGGUGCCUUCGGGAACUGUGAGACAGGUGCUGCAUGGCUGUCGUCAGCUCGUGUUGUGAAAUGUUGGGUUAAGUCCCGCAACGAGCGCAACCCUUAUCCUUUGUUGCCAGCGGUUAGGCCGGGAACUCAAAGGAGACUGCCAGUGAUAAACUGGAGGAAGGUGGGGAUGACGUCAAGUCAUCAUGGCCCUUACGACCAGGGCUACACACGUGCUACAAUGGCAUAUACAAAGAGAAGCGACCUCGCGAGAGCAAGCGGACCUCAUAAAGUAUGUCGUAGUCCGGAUUGGAGUCUGCAACUCGACUCCAUGAAGUCGGAAUCGCUAGUAAUCGUAGAUCAGAAUGCUACGGUGAAUACGUUCCCGGGCCUUGUACACACCGCCCGUCACACCAUGGGAGUGGGUUGCAAAAGAAGUAGGUAGCUUAACCUUCGGGAGGGCGUACCACAUUGUGA
rnacentral:rRNA from 1 species